UUGAACGCUGGCGGCAGGCCUAACACCUGCCAGUCGAGCGGAUGAAGGGAGCUUGCUCCUGGAUUCAGCGGCGGACGGGUGAGUAAUGCCUAGGAAUCUGCCUGGUAGUGGGGGAUAACGUCCGGAAACGGGCGCUAAUACCGCAUACGUCCUGAGGGAGAAAGUGGGGGAUCUUCGGACCUCACGCUAUCAGAUGAGCCUAGGUCGGAUUAGCUAGUUGGUGGGGUAAAGGCCUACCAAGGCGACGAUCCGUAACUGGUCUGAGAGGAUGAUCAGUCACACUGGAACUGGGACACGGUCCAGACUCCUACGGGAGGCAGCAGUGGGGAAUAUUGGACAAUGGGCGAAAGCCUGAUCCAGCCAUGCCGCGUGUGUGAAGAAGGUCUUCGGAUUGUAAAGCACUUUAAGUUGGGAGGAAGGGCAGUAAGUUAAUACCUUGCUGUUUUGACGUUACCAACAGAAUAAGCACCGGCUAACUUCGUG
rnacentral:rRNA from 1 species